GUUCUGGUGGCAUAGUGUUUAAGAGUUUGGCUGCUAACCAAAAGGUCGGUAGUUCAAAUCCGCCUUGGAAAC
rnacentral:tRNA from 1 species